CAGGGCUUUUAUAGCUACGGGUAGUGUAAAGUGCCAAAUAGCCCAAUCAGCCAUGCUGUGACAUUGUUUACAAAACAAGAAGGGAUCAAAGUACAUAAAAAUUGCAGAUUUAAUUUUGAGAACAGUGUUGCAGCAGAGAAAACUGAAUCGAAUUUUGACGACUCAGGAGAACAAACCGUCUGAAUAAAAGCUUCUAGCAGUAAAGCUGGAACCUCCGGGUAGGAGAGGUAAUGAGCCAGCUCGAGAAGGAACGCGAUCAGGAGUUGCAAAGCUACGAGUGUGGCCUAAAAGAAAACUCAUGCCUUAACUGCAGGUGGCCAACGAGGAAGACAAAAGCAAUCGUCAAGUGUUACGAGAAAGUGUUGAAAAUCAAGCGUCGCAAAUUCAUGGAAAUGGUUCCGAAGAGUUUUAACGAUGGACUUGGAUUACUGUCUACAGCUCUGUACGGACGACAACAUCCGGAAGAUGUAUGCAGUCAACUCCGAUUUGGAAGUCAAAUAUUGUUCUGGAAGGUGUUGGGGUCAACAAAUAGUUCUGGAGGAACUAGUCAGCCUACCUGAAGUAUCUUGACCCGGUGACAUCUACUCUUGCCCGAGGCUGGUUUUCUCCAAGCUGAAGUAUGCAACCGUUGAUAGCCAAUUGAAGAAUGCAGCCAGGAUUGUAUGCGGCGCGAUAGAUGGGUAAAGCUCCUCCGGAUGUGUCACACAAGAUUAUCGGGACAUGUAGAAUCCCCGGUCAUCCAGCCGAUCCGAUAGAAUAUCAUCCCGAUUCUAACCCCAUUGUGGUGGCUUCAAACAAACAAUCCUAAUCCUGUCAAGGUCGAAAUUUAUCAAUAAAGAAAAACUUUACUAACAGCUGAGAAAUCGCUUCAAAAUGUCCACAAAACGAAACCAACAGGGAUGCUAU